rnacentral:lncRNA from 1 species
AAAACCAACUUCAUUCUCAUCACCAUUAUCUUCAAAGAUUUGGAAGCGUGAUUUUCUCACUCCCUCAACUAACAGUUGAUCUUGUUUUCCUUUCAUAGUAGUCUUCCCCGAAAUAUUUGGUCUUCGUCUUUGGGCUAGAGCUUGCUUCCAAGGUCCGUAUAGAGAAACCAGAUCCUUCAUAGCACCCGCAAUUGUAAUCAUCACAAUAUCAAUAGUCAGCACCAUCGUUGGCUUUGUCAAGUCCACUUUUUUCCCAUUCCCUUGUUGUUCCAGAUAACUCUACUUAGUGUGCCCAUAGCAGCCACACUCGUAGUAGAUGACAGGUAAGCCCUUGUACUCCACAUAUUGAACAUGACCAUCAAUACCAUCAACUGUGACACCCCAAACUCAGUUGGGACGGUCCGACCCGAAUUUCGAAUGUCACAUUAGCCACCAAAGUGACUCUUCGUUAAAACACCACAAAACACACCAUUCAACCAAUCACACCACACAAUUGCAACAUGAUCCAUAUUAAAAAGAUAUCUUAUUUGCAUGCUUUUCUAUUCAAAUCAUAAAAAUAGCUCAAGAAAAAUCAAUUCCUUUGACACCUGCAAACCCACCUCGCGGCGAACUUCCAACUAGAAACCCUAGCAGCACACGGAUGACUAGCUAACACCCAGCUCGCAACCUACCCUGUGAACAUCGGUUCACAACUUACCUUGCGAACUCGUUAUUGGGCGAUUUAACACAUUUUUACUGGUAGCGUGUCUGUAUUUUUACUAGCAAAAUUUUUUGCAUAUUGUUAUUGGUGGUUUUAACCACAACGGGCUUAAGCCUAUACUAUUUUGGAGUUCAGAUGAUGAGUUCUAGGGAACCCAUGGUGUGUAGCGGAUGAAUGAGUAGGAUUAUUGCAUUGAAACAUUGAGCAUGCCAUGUUUGUAUGUUGUACUGACUUGCCAAAUUGGUUGAAUUUUAUAAAUUGAUGAAUGAUUGUUUGAUUGAUUAAAUGCUUAUUUUGUAUUGACUCACACUGGGUUUUUAAGCUCACCCCCUACUUUACUCUUUACAGACAAUUCUCAGGACUAGGCUUGGAUUCGAUAUUUAGAAGUUUCUUUAUGGAAUUUUUGGCACAUAAAUUUUUAUUAAAAUUUCUUUUCUUAUUAUUUCGAUAUUAUUCUUAUUUUUAUUUGAGACUGUAAGGUUUAUUUAAAUUUGGACUAUGGUAUGAGACAUUUUUUAACUAGAAUUUUUGCAUGCAUGAAUUUUUUACUGCACAAACGGUAAAUCUAAGCUUUUAACAAAGGAUUUUUCAAUGCAAUCAACUAAGUUUUUUUUUUAAAUGGCACGAUCAAUAUAUAAAUUGAACUUAAUAAUAGAUGGC